AAGAAGAAGAAAGACACUCCUGGAAGAGUUGUCCUUCUCUUUUUUCUUUUGCUUUUUCUUCUUUUUCUUCUUUUUCUUCUUCCUCCGAGGAACAAUCAUAAUAA
rnacentral:ribozyme from 14 species